rnacentral:rRNA from 1 species
UAGAGUUUGAUCAUGGCUCAGGACGAACGCUGGCGGCGUGCUUAACACAUGCAAGUCGAGCGAGGCUCUCCCUUCGGGGGGAUGCCCUAGCGGCGAACGGGUGAGUAACACGUGAGCAAUCUGCCCCGAACUCUGGGAUAACUGCGGGAAACCGCAGCUAAUACCGGAUACGACCCAAGGAGGCAUCUCCAUUGGGUGGAAAGUUUUUCGGUUCGGGAUGAGCUCGCGGCCUAUCAGCUUGUUGGUGGGGUAAUGGCCUACCAAGGCGACGACGGGUAGCCGGCCUGAGAGGGCGACCGGCCACACUGGGACUGAGACACGGCCCAGACUCCUACGGGAGGCAGCAGUGGGGAAUCUUGCGCAAUGGCCUAACGGCUGACGCAGCGACGCCGCGUGUGGGAUGAAGCUCUUCGGAGUGUAAACCACUGUUGCCCGGGACGAAUGUGCACCAUUGGGUGCAUUGACGGUACCGGGUGAGGAAGCACCGGCUAACUCCGUGCCAGCAGCCGCGGUACGCC